rnacentral:tRNA from 1 species
GCCGGGAUAGCUCAGUUGGGAGAGCGUGAGACUGAAGCUUCUUGGGCUUCUCAAGGUCGUCGGUUCGAUCCCGACUCACGGCA